ensembl:lncRNA
UCUCUGACCAUCAUGAACAUCAGAAACACAGACUCUGGAGAUUAUCAUCUAGAGACCAUAAUCAGCGGCAGCAUCAGUGAAAAGAUCUUCAAUGUCACUAUCACUGGAGGUCCUGGCUCAAAGGCAGUGCAAAUGAAGAGAACAAUGGAGAUGAAGGGAGCAUCAGACACUUUAAACAAUGGUGCAGUAAAUGAACAAGUUCAUUUGAUGACUUGUUUUUUUUUUUUUAAUGAUACUCACAUUAUUUAACUCAGAUUAGGAUAAUAAUACAUAUUACAGAUUUUGUCAGACAAUGUGUCAAUUAGAAAUCAUGAUUUAAGUGCAGAACAGCACCUUGGAAAAGGCAGCUAGUUAAAAUAUAGUCUUAAACUGGUGGUUUCAUAUUCAUUCCAUUUUUUGACAACAGAAACAGAAAAAAACAUGUAAAUGAGAAC